UGCAGAAUCCCGUGAACCAUCGAGUCUUUGAACGCAAGUUGCGCCCGAUGCCAUUAGGUUGAGGGCACGUCUGCCUGGGUGUCACAUAUCGAAGCCUCUUGCCAAUUUCCUUUUGACAGGUAUUGUGCAGGGUGGAUGUUGGCCUCCCGUGAGCUCUUUCGUCUCAUGGUUGGUUGAAAAUUGAGACCUUGGUAGGGUGUGCCAUGAUAGAUGGUGGUUGUGUGACCCACGAGACCAAUCAUGCGCUGCUCUAUUGAAUUUGGCCUCUUUUACCCAUAUGCGUUUCUAAAUGCUCGUGAUGAGACCUCAGGUCAGGCGGGGCUACCCGCUGAAUUUAAGCAUAUCAAUAAGCGGAGGAAAAGAAACUAACAAGGAUUCCCUUAGUAACGGCGAGCGAACCGGGAUAAGCCCACCAUGAGAAUCGGUCGCCCUCGGCGUUCGA
rnacentral:rRNA from 1 species